AGAGUUUGAUCAUGGCUCAGGAUGAACGCUAGCUACAGGCUUAACACAUGCAAGUCGAGGGGCAGCAUAGCGGAAGCUUGCUUCUGCUGAUGGCGACCGGCGCACGGGUGAGUAACGCAUAUCCAACCUUCCCUACAGUAGGGGAUAGCCCGGCGAAAGUCGGAUUAAUACCCUAUGUUCUUCUUCGAUGACAUCUGACGAGAAGCAAAGGUUUACCGCUAUAGGAUGGGGAUGCGUCUGAUUAGCUUGUUGGCGGGGUAACGGCCCACCAAGGCUACGAUCAGUAGGGGUUCUGAGAGGAAGGUCCCCCACAUUGGUACUGAGCCAGGAUCAAACUC
rnacentral:rRNA from 1 species